rnacentral:rRNA from 1 species
AGCAGCCGCGGUAAUUCCAGCUCCAAUAGCGUAUAUUAAAGUUGUUGCAGUUAAAAAGCUCGUAGUUGAAUUUCGGGGUUAGUAGAUUGGUCAUGCCUCUGGUAUGCACUGGUCUUACUGAUUCCUCCUUCCUGAUGAACCGUAAUGCCAUUAAUUUGGUGUUGCGGGGAAACUGGACUGUUACUUUGAAAAAUUGAGUGUUUAAAGCAGGCUAACGCUUGAAUACAUUAGCAUGGAAUAAUGAAAUAGGACGUUCGAUCUUAUUUUGUUGGUUUCUAGGAUUGACGUAAUGAUUAAUAGGGAUAGUUGGGGGCAUUAGUAUUCAAUUGUCAGAGGUGAAAUUCUUGGAUUUAUUGAAGACUAACUACUGCGAAAGCAUUUGCCAAGGAUGUUUUCAUUAAUCAAGAACGAAAGUUAGGGGGAUCGAAGACGAUCAGAUACCGUCGUAGUCUUAACCAUAAACUAUGCCGACUAGGGAUCGGGAUGAUGUUAAUUUUUUAAUGACUCAUUCGGCGCCUUA